ACUCAAAUGAAUUGACGGGGACCCGCACAAGCGGUGGAGCGUGUUGUUUAAUUCGAUGGUAAACGAAGAACCUUACCCAGGUUUGACAUCCUUGGAAUUUUGCCGAAAGGCGAAAGUGCUUUAUUGAACCAAGUGACAGGUGUUGCAUGGCCGUCGUCAGCUCGUGUCGUGAGAUGUUUGGUUAAGUCCAUCAACGAGCGCAACCCUUGUGAUUAGUUGUAUUUUUCUAAUCAGACUGCCCUGGUAACAGGGAGGAAGGGGGGGAUGAUGUCAGGUCAGUAUUACCCUUACAUCUGGGGCUACAAACACGCUACAAUGGCCGGUACAAAGGGCUGCCAAAGCGCAAGCUGGAGCAAAUCCCAUCAAAGCCGGUCUCAGUUCGGAUAGCAGGCUGAAACUCGCCUGCUUGAAGCUGGAAUCGCUAGUAACGGUAGGUCAGCUAUACUACCGUGAAUACGUUCCCGGGUCUUGCACACACCGCCCGU
rnacentral:rRNA from 1 species